AUCCCCUUGGAAGAAGCACAAAAUCACUUUAAAGUUAUUACAGUUAAUGAUACUGGAGCAGGAAAACACUGGAGUGACAAUGAAGUCAGAGCUCUGAUAAAUAUAUGGUCAGAUGAAAAGAUACAGCAAAUGCUUGAAGGGGCAACAAGAAAUAAAGAAAUAUUUGAGGAAAUUGCCAGACGGUUAAUGAAAUGUGGAAUAGACAGAGACUGGAAACAAUGUCGCACGAAGUACAAGAACCUAAAAUAUGAAUAUCGUGCACUGCAGAAAGAAAAUGAACAUCUUGGUAAUCCCAGGAGAAAAAUGAGAUUUUACGAUGAAGUUGACUGUAUCUUAAGAAGACAGCCUCUUGGUCCAUCAGGCUGGGGAUGUGAAAGUUCAAGCCUCCUAUCAGUUUCAGUGGGAGAUGUUACAGCAAACACAGGAUCCUUGGGUAUCAAGAGAAAAACAUGGAAUGAUGAGAUGUCACCCAUUCCACUUAAGAAAAGUGCUUCUGAAAACACCAUAUUCCAGUUUCAAAAACUAUUAACAGAGAGAGUGAACACAGUAACAGAAGGCAAAAAGUUACUGUUAGAAAGGCUUUGUAAGCAGGAAGAAAUGCAAGACCUCAACAGAACACAGCUGUAUGCACAUCCAUCAGCCAUGCAACAGGUUGGUUUAAUGAACUUUCUACCAAAUUAGCAUGCAAAAAGAUUCUCUCAGAUGCU
rnacentral:lncRNA from 1 species